AUGAUUAAAGAUAGCUUGCUAUUUUUAUGAAGAGCGGCGAACGGGUGAGUAACGCGUGGGAAAUCUGCCGAGUAGCGGGGGACAACGUUUGGAAACGAACGCUAAUACCGCAUAACAAUGAGAAUCGCAUGAUUCUUAUUUAAAAGAAGCAAUUGCUUCACUACUUGAUGAUCCCGCGUUGUAUUAGCUAGUUGGUAGUGUAAAGGACUACCAAGGCGAUGAUACAUAGCCGACCUGAGAGGGUGAUCGGCCACACUGGGACUGAGACACGGCCCAGACUCCUACGGGAGGCAGCAGUAGGGAAUCUUCGGCAAUGGGGGCAACCCUGACCGAGCAACGCCGCGUGAGUGAAGAAGGUUUUCGGAUCGUAAAACUCUGUUGUUAGAGAAGAACGUUAAGUAGAGUGGAAAAUUACUUAAGUGACGGUAUCUAACC
rnacentral:rRNA from 1 species